UACGGAGGGGGCGAGCGUUGUCCGAAGUUACUGGGCGUAAAGGGCGCGUAGGCGGGGUGUCACGUCCGCUGUGAAAGCCUGGAGCUUAACUCCAGCGGGUCGGUGGAUACGGGCACUCUUGAAGGCGUUAGGGGAAGAUGGAAUUACCCGUGGAGCGGUGAAAUGUGUAGAGAUCGGGAGGAACACCGGUGGCGAAGGCGGGUCUCUGGGCAUUGCCUGACGCUGAGGCGCGAAAGCGUGGGGAGCAAACAGGAUUAGAACCUACCGAGUCA
rnacentral:rRNA from 1 species